rnacentral:rRNA from 1 species
CCUACGGGCGGCAGCAGUAGGGAAUCUUCCACAAUGGGCGAAAGCCUGAUGGAGCAACGCCGCGUGGGUGAAGAAGGUCUUCGGAUCGUAAAACCCUGUUGUUAGAGAAGAAAGUGCGUGAGAGUAACUGUUCACGUUUCGACGGUAUCUAACCAGAAAGCCACGGCUAACUACGUGCCAGCAGCCGCGGUAAUACGUAGGUGGCAAGCGUUAGCCGGAUUUAUUGGGCGUAAGGGGAACGCAGGCGGUCUUGUAAGUCUGAUGUGAAAGCCUUCGGCUUAACCGGAGUAGUGCAUUGGAAACUGGGAGACUGGAGUGCAGAAGAGGAGAGUGGAACUCCAUGUGUAGCGGUGAAAUGCGUAGAUAUAUGGAAGAACACCAGUGGCGAAGGCGGCUCUCUGGUCUGUAACUGACGCUGAGGUUCGAAAGCGUGGGUAGCAAACAGGAUUAGAUACCCCUGUAGUC